UUUUCCGCCGUUCCGCGGAAAUCCGCCGUUUUAAUUUUCAAAUUGAUCAUUUCUGUGAAUCGUCCAAAUCCGUUGAGAAAAUUUUAGGGGAGGUAUGUUUUUGUUACUCUUGCUCCCGGUUUUUGAGAAGCGCUCGGCGUUUCUCCCGCAGCGUAACAGACAAAAGCCGCGAUUUCACAAGCAUCUACUCGGCGCGGUAUGGUUCGCCACUAUUGUAUCUGACUCGGCUCGUCUCGGUUUAGUUGUUUUUCCAUAUAGCCUCAUCGUGGGUGGAGUCGUCAUAGCGCAGCGAGCCGAAAGUCCCUUUACCGUCAUUUGCGUGCGACACAAACGCAACAUAACGGAGAAGAUGGUUCACCUGCUGCUCGGUCUGUGGCUUUCUGUCAGAUUCAAAGUAAAAGAAGAGUCGGAGAAAGCUGAGAGCAGCGAGUCGGAACACUCAGGAGACACACAGGAGAGUUUGGGAGGCGAUACAGCAGUAUCAAGCUGAAGACAAGAGGAUAUGAACGAGACGACAUAUGAGGAUGCUCUCUGAUGAGACGUCAUGGGAUUUACCUGAAGCAGCAGCACAUGAGCCUGCAGUGGCACAAGGUGUAGAGGAGGAGGACAGAGAUGUACAGGAUGCACUGAUGCACUACGUGUCAUGUACAAGUUAAAAGUUAUUCUUCUUGUUAUACUUCUGUUUUUCCGUCCCCGGACUGCUAUUGUUUUCUUUAAUGCAAUUCUGACAAUAAACUUUUGUACCUUUUGCA